GACGAACGCUGGCGGCGCGCCUAACACAUGCAAGUCGAACGAGCGAGAGAGAGCUUGCUUUCUCGAGCGAGUGGCGAACGGGUGAGUAACGCGUGAGGAACCUGCCUCAAAGAGGGGGACAACAGUUGGAAACGACUGCUAAUACCGCAUAAGCCCACGGCUCGGCAUCGAGCAGAGGGAAAAGGAGUAAUCCGCUUUGAGAUGGCCUCGCGUCCGAUUAGCUAGUUGGUGAGGUAAUGGCCCACCAAGGCGACGAUCGGUAGCCGGACUGAGAGGUUGAACGGCCACAUUGGGACUGAGAUACGGCCCAGACUCCUACGGGAGGCAGCAGUGGGGAAUAUUGGGCAAUGGGCGAAAGCCUGACCCAGCAACGCCGCGUGAAGGAAGAAGGUCUUCGGAUUGUAAACUCCUGUUGUUGAGGAAGAUAAUGACGGUACUCAACAAGGAAGUGACGGCUAACUACGUG
rnacentral:rRNA from 1 species